rnacentral:lncRNA from 1 species
UAUUGGUUAAUUUUUUUACUCAUCUUAUACGUCACUUCACAUGUCAACUUCGUUGAUCACUAAGAAACAUAUUGCCUUAGCAAUAGGGCUUACCCUAGCAGGUGGCACCAUGGUAAGUGUACCUGCGUAUUAAAACACUAGGUCAUAAGUACCAACAAUAUAAAGAUUGAUAACAAAAAAAUAACAAGGCAAAAGGUUAAGAACCAAAGCCAUACCUAGAGUGGGUACAGACAUGGGUAAAGUACACAACACUUGUUAAGGAGUACCAAAGCAUGGUCCAAUUACUGUGUCAAAGGGUACAUCAACGGAACUUGCAGCAAUAGGAGCAGAAGCAACCCGUCUCUGUGACCAUCGAAACAAGACAACAAAGCAAACUCUCUGAAGUAGCAAGAACGAGGCACGGUAACCUUUCGCAGGAGUAUUUUGAGUUGAGCCCCCUCCUCUCUAAAUUGUUUAAGAUCUCUUUUGAUGAGCCCCCAAUGUUCAAACUGUUGAGCGGGGCCUGCUCAACAUCAGCCUCCUCACUGCUUGAAACAUUGUUUGGGGCGGUAGCCAUUUCACCUACACAAAAUCAAACAAAGUAGUUAAAUCCCAAUAGAUGCAUGUCAAUAAUAAUUAUGGAAAUAAUAUAUUUAAGUGAUAUUAUGAGAUAAAAAGCCCACGGGGUAGUCCUCCUCCAUGUAUCUAUUGAACCACUCCUGCCUCCUUUAAACCCAAUUCCUCAACUUAGAAAUGUCAAUACCAAUGUUAAUACCCUCGUAAUCACCAACAAAGAAGUGUUGGGAUUGCCCCUAACUAUCACUGGAUCCCUCAUCAAUAUGCACCACCUCUUGAGGAGCAUUAACAACCCUAGCAACUCUAGCUCCCCCUAAGCCAACAAUGCCACCUACCCCUUCAAUCAACCCACCCCUCGUCAAAGGCAAUUCCACCCCCACUUCCUCCUCGGAGAGCACCGCCUCAGCUUUGUUUCUUGGUGCUCCACUUACAAUCAGGACACAACCUGUAUGUCAUAAUGUACAACUAGAGCUCCUGGGUCACUCCAAAGAAUAAUCGGGUCACCUCUUCAUCACAACCUUGAGGCCAUGAUUCCAAGUGAUGUGGAAUCCUUAGGGCCCCAUUUUGAAAACCCUAUUGCAGUCACUGUCUUUGUACCCAUUGGGGAUCACACCCAUCAAACAAUGCUUAAACAUCUUUCUGACCAUGACAACCCUGGAGACACCUAAGGGAUUACCCUUUCGAAGGGCAUUGAACAGUUUUGUCUUAAAGUUAUCAACCAAUUUUGGCUCAGACAAACACAGCUAGCUUGGAGGCAGUGACCACGUGGUUGGAAUAGUGAGGUCAUCGAUGAACUUGUGCUCCACCAGGAUAUACUUGGAACGAUCCGACCCCAACUUGUUCCCCUUUCCCAGCAGUAGAUGCUCAAUCCUCAUACCUACCAUUUGUUGAAACACAACAUCCUAGGAUGCUACCGAUCAUGGUUUGUCGAAGUGAAGUUGAACAAAUUUUGAAAUACCUUUAGAUAGGGCACCUCAUCUCUCUAAUGACAUGGUAUAAGAAACCCAAUCAAAAUCCACCACGAGGCUCCAAGCAGUUGCCUAGGGGCCACUCUAUAUUAAUUCAAGGUGAAAGCCAGCUUCCAAGGCAUAUAAGGGCAAAUAGAACCCUAGUUUCCCACUGUCGUGUUUUGGCCCGCUGACGGUGCUUAAUUCGUUCUCUAUUUGAGGAAUGUUAAACUCGAAUUCAUAUUAUGCAUCAACAACCCCUUACAUUGCAAUAACUAUCGCAUCUCAUUCUAUCACAAACGGUUCUCUGCAGCAUCUUUGCCUUCGAUUUUCGUUGUCCCCUUUACCCACGCUACUACUAGCCUUUCCAUCCCGAUUUCCCCUAACCAUACUCAACUAAAAGAAACCCUAAAAAGCAAUAUGGAACUAACAAACUUACUAAAAGUUACACUUAAUGCUGGUCUCACCAACGUUGUUGAUGUACAAACUCAAAACGAAGAAGGAAAAGUUUAAAACUUCGAAAAACUCAAGUCUGAGAAAUUGGAAAACUUAGAAAAAAA